rnacentral:tRNA from 7 species
GCUCCCUUAGCUCAGUUGGACAGAGCAGCUGCCUUCUAAGCAGUCGGUCGUUGGUUCGAAUCCAACAGGGAGCG